UAAUGAGCAGACCCUGUUGAUCUUCCCUUUGGAUGCCACCUGCUUUCAUAACACGCAAAUAAUUAAACUGGCUGACCACAAAUGAAAAAAAAACAGAUUUGGUACAAUAUCAUAUGGGUAAAAACUGUUCCUGUCUUGAGGGCAACCUCUCAAAUUUAGAUGACAUAUGUGAAUGGGACAGGAAUCAGACAGUUAUGUUAGCAAUGUUGAGUCUUGUACUGCAGACAUUGAAUCUGAAACAAAUUUUGCUGCACAUAGUUUUUCAAGCAUUGACGACCUUUCCAAAGUUAUUGAGCAGAACAUCGCUUCAGUGGUAUUGAAGUUGGAAAAUAUUUUGUUUGUACCAUCCACAGCUAUUAAUGAAUUACUGCAUGAAUUGCAUUAUGUAGUAAGUUCCUCCUCUAUUCCGAUCACUUUCAAUAGCCUGUCUAACAUUCUUAAAAAUAAUAAUGUUCUAGUUGAUGAGCCAGUUGUCAAAGAACUUGCUCAAGUACUGUGCAGUUCUAAUCCUUUAGCCAAAGCCUUUGCAAAAGAUGGUCCUCUAGCUACAGCUUACAAAAGAAAACAGUAUUACAAAGAACAUUUCAAUGUGAUUAACCCAGUAAAAUACAUCCUUGAUCAUAAGGCUAAUACGACAUUUCAGUAUAUUCCAAUUUUGCCUUUUUUGCAGCAUAAGUAACUGUGACAUUUAAAAAAAUGUUAUCCAUAUCCACAAAACACAGGCAAAUACUUCAGGUGUCGUGGAAAUACUGUUCUGUAAGAGAUGGAAUUUACUACAAAGAAAAUUAUUUUUUUAAAGGAGAGGAUUUAAAAUUAUCAAUAUCAUUGUACAUUGAUGACUUUGAAACUAUAGUUUGUGAAAGGCACAGUU